rnacentral:rRNA from 1 species
UACAGAGGGUGCGAGCGUUGUCCGGAAUCACUGGGCGUAAAGGGCGCGUAGGCGGCCUGAUAAGUAGGGGGUGAAAUCCUGUGGCUUAACUGCAGGGCUGCCUCCUAGACUGUUAGGCUCGAGCACGGUAGAGGCAGAUGGAAUUCCCGGUGUAGCGGUGAAAUGCGUAGAUAUCUGGAGGAACACCGGUGGCGAAGGCGGCGUCCUGGACCAACACUGACACUGAGGAGCGAAAGCCAGGGGAGCAAACGGG